rnacentral:rRNA from 1 species
UACGUAGGGUGCAAGCGUUGUCCGGAAUUAUUGGGCGUAAAGAGCUCGUAGGCGGUUUGUUGCGUCGGCUGUGAAAUCCCGAGGCUCAACCUCGGGUCUGCAGUCGAUACGAGCAAACUAGAGUGUUGCAGGGGAGACUGGAAUUCCUGGUGUAGCGGUGAAAUGCGCAGAUAUCAGGAGGAACACCGGUGGCGAAGGCGGGUCUCUGGACAGUUCCUGACACUGAGACACGAAGGCCAGGGGAGCAAACGGG